GCCUAGCUAGCUCAAUCGGUAGAGCGUGAGACUCUUACCAUUGCGGGGUUCGAACCGGCGAUUGGAAAAAUCUCAAGGCUGCGGGUUCGACCCCCGCGUUGGGCU